UACGGAGGAUCCAAGCGUUAUCCGGAUUUAUUGGGCGUAAAGGGCUCGUAGGCGGUUUGUCGCGUCGGGAGUGAAAACUCAGGGCUCAACCCUGAGCGUGCUUCCGAUACGGGCAGACUAGAGGUAUGCAGGGGAGAACGGAAUUCCUGGUGUAGCGGUGGAAUGCGCAGAUAUCAGGAGGAACACCGGUGGCGAAGGCGGUUCUCUGGGCAUUACCUGACGCUGGAGGAGCGAAAGCAUGGGGAGCGAACAGG
rnacentral:rRNA from 1 species